rnacentral:tRNA from 1 species
AGAUCGUUGGUGUAGUGGUAACACGACAAGCUCCAACCUUGUAGAUGUGGGUUCGAUUCCUACACGGUCUG